CCUGCCCCUACAAGUGUUGUAGGUGUGCUGUUGUGCAUCAACAGGUGUCAGAGAGGAGAGGGGCUAUGUCUCUGCUCAGUGUUCUGACCUAGGAUCAUCUGAUGAUUACUAGUCGAAUAUU
rnacentral:snoRNA from 1 species